rnacentral:rRNA from 1 species
GCCAUCAUUUAAAGAGUGCGUAAUAGCUCACUAGUCGAGUGACACUGCGCCGAAAAUGUACCGGGGCUAAACAUAUUACCGAAGCUGUGGAUUGUCCUUUGGACAAUGGUAGGAGAGCGUUCUAAGGGCGUUGAAGCAUGAUCGUAAGGACAUGUGGAGCGCUUAGAAGUGAGAAUGCCGGUGUGAGUAGCGAAAGACGGGUGAGAAUCCCGUCCACCGAUUGACUAAGGUUUCCAGAGGAAGGCUCGUCCGCUCUGGGUUAGUCGGGUCCUAAGCUGAGGCCGACAGGCGUAGGCGAUGGAUAACAGGUUGAUAUUCCUGUACCACCUAUAAUCGUUUUAAUCGAUGGGGGGACGCAGUAGGAUAGGCGAAGCGUGCGAUUGGAUUGCACGUCUAAGCAGUAAGGCUGAGUAUUAGGCAAAUCCGGUACUCGUUAAGGCUGAGCUGUGAUGGGGAGAAGACAUUGAGUCUUCGAGUCGUUGAUUUCACACUGCCGAGAAAAGCCUCUAGAUAGAAAAUAGGUGCCCGUACCGCAAACCGACACAGGUAGUCAAGAUGAGAAUUCUAAGGUGAGCGAGCGAACUCUCGUUAAGGAACUCGGCAAAAUGACCCCGUAACUUCGGGAGAAGGGGUGCUCUUUAGGGUUAACGCCCAGAAGAGCCGCAGUGAAUAGGCCCAAGCGACUGUUUAUCAAAAACACAGGUCUCUGCUAAACCGUAAGGUGAUGUAUAGGGGCUGACGCCUGCCCGGUGCUGGAAGGUUAAGAGGAGUGGUUAGCUUCUGCGAAGCUACGAAUCGAAGCCCCAGUAAACGGCGGCCGUAACUAUAACGGUCCUAAGGUAGCGAAAUUCCUUGUCGGGUAAGUUCCGACCCGCACGAAAGGCGUAACGAUUUGGGCACUGUCUCAACGAGAGACUCGGUGAAAUCAUAGUACCUGUGAAGAUGCAGGUUACCCGCGACAGGACGGAAAGACCCCGUGGAGCUUUACUGUAGCCUGAUAUUGAAAUUCGGCACAGCUUGUACAGGAUAGGUAGGAGCCUUUGAAACGUGAGCGCUAGCUUACGUGGAGGCGCUGGUGGGAUACUACCCUAGCUGUGUUGGCUUUCUAACCCGCACCACUUAUCGUGGUGGGAGACAGUGUCAAGCGGGCAGUUUGACUGGGGCGGUCGCCUCCUAAAAGGUAACGGAGGCGCUCAAAGGUUCCCUCAGAAUGGUUGGAAAUCAUUCAUAGAGUGUAAAGGCAUAAGGGAGCUUGACUGCGAGACCUACAAGUCGAGCAGGGUCGAAAGACGGACUUAGUGAUCCGGUGGUUCCGCAUGGAAGGGCCAUCGCUCAACGGAUAAAAGCUACCCCGGGGAUAACAGGCUUAUCUCCCCCAAGAGUUCACAUCGACGGGGAGGUUUGGCACCUCGAUGUCGGCUCAUCGCAUCCUGGGGCUGUAGUCGGUCCCAAGGGUUGGGCUGUUCGCCCAUUAAAGCGGUACGCGAGCUGGGUUCAGAACGUCGUGAGACAGUUCGGUCCCUAUCCGUCGUGGGCGUAGGAAAUUUGAGAGGAGCUGUCCUUAGUACGAGAGGACCGGGAUGGACAUACCUCUGGUGUACCAGUUGUCGUGCCAACGGCAUAGCUGGGUAGCUAUGUGUGGACGGGAUAAGUGCUGAAAGCAUCUAAGCAUGAAGCCCCCCUCAAGAUGAGAUUUCCCAACUUCGGUUAUAAGAUCCCUCAAAGAUGAUGAGGUUAAUAGGUUCGAGGUGGAAGCAUGGUGACAUGUGGAGCUGACGAAUACUAAUCGAUCGAAGACUUAAUCAA